GGUUAAGCGACUAAGCGUACACGGUGGAUGCCCUGGCAGUCAGAGGCGAUGAAGGACGUGCUAAUCUGCGAUAAGCGUCGGUAAGGUGAUAUGAACCGUUAUAACCGGCGAUUUCCGAAUGGGGAAACCCAGUGUGAUCCGUCACACUAUCAUUACGUGAAUACAUAGCGUAAUGAAGCGAACCGGGGGAACUGAAACAUCUAAGUACCCCGAGGAAAAGAAAUCAACCGAGAUUCCCCCAGUAGCGGCGAGCGAACGGGGAGCAGCCCAGAGUCUGAAUCAGCUUGUGUGUUAGUGGAACGGUCUGGAAAGUCCGACGGUACAGGGUGAUAGUCCCGUACACCAAAAUGCACAGGUUGUGAACUCGAAGAGUAGGGCGGGACACGUGGUAUCCUGUCUGAAUAUGGGGGGACCAUCCUCCAAGGCUAAAUACUCCUGACUGACCGAUAGUGAACCAGUACCGUGAGGGAAAGGCGAAAAGAACCCCGGCGAGGGGAGUGAAAAAGAACCUGAAACCGUGUACGUACAAGCAGUGGGAGCCUCUUUAUGGGGUGACUGCGUACCUUUUGUAUAAUGGGUCAGCGACUUAUAUUCUGUAGCAAGGUUAACCGUAUAGGGGAGCCGAAGGGAAACCGAGUCUUAACUGGGCGUUAAGUUGCAGGGUAUAGACCCGAAACCCGGUGAUCUAGCCAUGGGCAGGUUGAAGGUUGGGUAACACUAACUGGAGGACCGAACCGACUAAUGUUGAAAAAUUAGCGGAUGACUUGUGGCUGGGGGUGAAAGGCCAAUCAAACCGGGAGAUAGCUGGUUCUCCCCGAAAGCUAUUUAGGUAGCGCCUCGUGAAUUCAUCUUCGGGGGUAGAGCACUGUUUCGGCUAGGGGGUCAUCCCGACUUACCAACCCGAUGCAAACUGCGAAUACCGAAGAAUGUUAUCACGGGAGACACACGGCGGGUGCUAACGUCCGUCGUGAAGAGGGAAACAACCCAGACCGCCAGCUAAGGUCCCAAAGUCAUGGUUAAGUGGGAAACGAUGUGGGAAGGCACAGACAGCCAGGAUGUUGGCUUAGAAGCAGCCAUCAUUUAAAGAAAGCGUAAUAGCUCACUGGUCGAGUCGGCCUGCGCGGAAGAUGUAACGGGGCUAAACCAUGCACCGAAGCUGCGGCAGCGACGCUUAUGUGUUGUUGGGUAGGGGAGCGUUCUGUAAGCCGUUGAAGGUGUGCUGUGAGGCAUGCUGGAGGUAUCAGAAGUGCGAAUGCUGACAUAAGUAACGAUAAAGCGGGUGAAAAGCCCGCUCGCCGGAAGACCAAGGGUUCCUGUCCAACGUUAAUCGGGGCAGGGUGAGUCGACCCCUAAGGCGAGGCCGAAAGGCGUAGUCGAUGGGAAACAGGUUAAUAUUCCUGUACUUGGUGUUACUGCGAAGGGGGGACGGAGAAGGCUAUGUCAGCCGGGCGACGGUUGUCCCGGUUUAAGCAUGUAGGCGGAGGUUCCAGGUAAAUCCGGUACCUUAUUAACGCUGAGGUGUGAUGACGAGGCACUACGGUGCUGAAGUGAUAAAUGCCCUGCUUCCAGGAAAAGCCUCUAAGCAUCAGGUAACACGAAAUCGUACCCCAAACCGACACAGGUGGUCAGGUAGAGAAUACCAAGGCGCUUGAGAGAACUCGGGUGAAGGAACUAGGCAAAAUGGUGCCGUAACUUCGGGAGAAGGCACGCUGAUAUGUAGGUGAAGCCCCUGCGGGCGGAGCUGAAAUCAGUCGAAGAUACCAGCUGGCUGCAACUGUUUAUUAAAAACACAGCACUGUGCAAACACGAAAGUGGACGUAUACGGUGUGACGCCUGCCCGGUGCCGGAAGGUUAAUUGAUGGGGUUAUCCGUAAGGAGAAGCUCUUGAUCGAAGCCCCGGUAAACGGCGGCCGUAACUAUAACGGUCCUAAGGUAGCGAAAUUCCUUGUCGGGUAAGUUCCGACCUGCACGAAUGGCGUAAUGAUGGCCAGGCUGUCUCCACCCGAGACUCAGUGAAAUUGAACUCGCUGUGAAGAUGCAGUGUACCCGCGGCAAGACGGAAAGACCCCGUGAACCUUUACUAUAGCUUGACACUGAACACUGGUCCUUGAUGUGUAGGAUAGGUGGGAGGCUUUGAAGUGUGGACGCCAGUCUGCAUGGAGCCAUCCUUGAAAUACCACCCUUUAAUGGCUGGUGUUCUAACGUGGACCCGUUACCCGGGUUGCGGACAGUGUCUGGUGGGUAGUUUGACUGGGGCGGUCUCCUCCUAAAGAGUAACGGAGGAGCACGAAGGUUAGCUAAUCCUGGUCGGACAUCAGGAGGUUAGUGCAAAGGCAUAAGCUAGCUUGACUGCGAGAGUGACGGCUCGAGCAGGUGCGAAAGCAGGUCUUAGUGAUCCGGUGGUUCUGAAUGGAAGGGCCAUCGCUCAACGGAUAAAAGGUACUCCGGGGAUAACAGGCUGAUACCGCCCAAGAGUUCAUAUCGACGGCGGUGUUUGGCACCUCGAUGUCGGCUCAUCACAUCCUGGGGCUGAAGUAGGUCCCAAGGGUAUGGCUGUUCGCCAUUUAAAGUGGUACGCGAGCUGGGUUUAGAACGUCGUGAGACAGUUCGGUCCCUAUCUGCCGUGGGCGCUGGAGAAUUGAGGGGGCUGCUCCUAGUACGAGAGGACCGGAGUGGACGCAUCACUGGUGUUCGGGUUGUCAUGCCAAUGGCAUUGCCCGGUAGCUAAAUGCGGAAGAGAUAAGUGCUGAAAGCAUCUAAGCACGAAACUUGCCCCGAGAUGAGUUCUCCCUGAGACUAUAAGUCUCCUGAAGGAACGUUAAAGACGAUGACGUUGAUAGGUCGGGUGUGUAAGUGUAGCGAUACAUUGAGCUAACCGAUACUAAUGAACCGUGAGGCUUAACCUU
rnacentral:rRNA from 1 species